CCUACGGGUGGCAGCAGUGGGGAAUAUUGCACAAUGGGGGACACCCUGAUGCAGCGACGCAGCGUGAGUGAAGAAGUAAUUCGUUAUGUAAAGCUCUAUCAGCAGGGAAGAAAAUGACGGUACCUGACUAAGAAGCCCCGGCUAACUACGUGCCAGCAGCCGCGGUAAUACGUAGGGGGCAAGCGUUAUCCGGAUUUACUGGGUGUAAAGGGGGCGUAGACGGGUUGGCAAGUCAGAUGUGAAAGGCUGGGGCUCAACCCCAGGACUGCAGUUGGAACUGUCAGGCUAGAGUGUCGGAGAGGCAGGCGGAAUUCCUGGUGUAGCGGUGAAAUGCGUAGAUAUUAGGAAGAACACCAGUGGCGAAGGCAGCCUGCUGGACGAUGACUGACGUUGAGGCUCGAAAGCGUGGGGAGCAAACAGGAUUAGAUACCCCUGUAGUC
rnacentral:rRNA from 1 species